GGAAGGAUCAUUAUUGAAAUAAUCUUGGUUGGGCUGUUUUGCUGGCUUCUUGGAGCAUGUGCACGCCCAGCACAAUUUUAUUAUAAACCCCUCUGUGCACCUUCUGUAGACUCUUGGUUUAUAUUCUUGAAUGUUUUAUUACAUUCAGCUUUGAGGAGUUGCUACUCCCGGUAGCUUUCCUUGUGUGUAAUCCUUGGUCUAUGUUUUUAUAUACCCUAUAUAAAGUAUCAGAAUGUAAUGAUUGGCCUUUUGUGCCUUUAAUCAAAUACAACUUUCAACAACGGAUCUCUUGGCUCUCGCAUCGAUGAAGAACGCAGCGAAAUGCGAUAAGUAAUGUGAAUUGCAGAAUUCAGUGAAUCAUCGAAUCUUUGAACGCACCUUGCGCUCCUUGGUAUUCCGAGGAGCAUGCCUGUUUGAGUGUCAUUAAAUUCUCAAUCCCUUCUGGUUUUAUUGCUAGUAGUGGCAUUGGAUGUGGGAGUUUUGCGGGCUUUAUCUGAAGUCGGCUCUCCUUAAAUUUAUUAGUGAAACCUUUUGUUGACCGUCUCUGGUGUGAUAAUUAUCUAUGCCAUUGAUUCAACCAAGUAAAAAGGGUUAUGCUUCUAACCGUCCUAGGACAAACAUAUUGACACAUUUGACCUCAAAUCAGGUAGGACUACCCGCUGAACUUAAGCAUAUCAAUAAGCGGAGGAAAAGAAACUAACAAGGAUUCCCCUAGUAACUGCGAGUGAAGCGGGAAAAGCUCAAAUUUAAAAUCUGGUAGUCUUUUGGCUGCCCGAGUUGUAAUCUAGAGAAGCAUUAUCCGCGCUGGACCGUGUACAAGUCUCCUGGAAUGGAGCGUCAUAGAGGGUGAGAAUCCCGUCUUUGACACGGACUACCAGGGCUUUGUGAUGUGCUCUCAAAGAGUCGAGUUGUUUGGGAAUGCAGCUCUAAAUGGGUGGUAAAUUCCAUCUAAAGCUAAAUAUUGGCGAGAGACCGAUAGCGAACAAGUACCGUGAGGGAAAGAUGAAAAGAACUUUGGAAAGAGAGUUAAACAGUACGUGAAAUUGUUGAAAGGGAAACGCUUGAAGUCAGUCGCGUCUGUCUGGGAUCAACCUUGCUCUUUUGCUUGGUGUAUUUCUAGCAGACGGGUCAGCAUCAAUUUUGACCGGUAGAAAAAGUCUAGUGGAAUGUGGCAUCUUCGGAUGUGUUAUAGCCAUUGGUCGCAUAUAUCGGUUGGGAUUGAGGAACUCAGCACGCCGCAAGGUUCGGGCCAUUUUGGCUACGUUCGUGCUUAGGAUGCUGGCAUAAUGGCUUUAAUCGACCCGUCUUGAAACACGGACCAAGGAGUCUAACAUGCCUGCAAGUGUUUGGGUGGAAAACCCGAGCGCGUAAUGAAAGUGAAAGUUGAGAUCCCUGUCGUGGGGAGCAUCGACGCCCGGACCUGAGCUUUUGUGACGGAUCCGCGGUAGAGCAUGUAUGUUGGGACCCGAAAGAUGGUGAACUAUGCCUGAAUAGGGUGAAGCCAGAGGAAACUCUGGUGGAGGCUCGUAGCGAUUCUGACGUGCAAAUCGAUCGUCAAAUUUGGGUAUAGGGGCGAAAGACUAAUCGAACCAUCUAGUAGCUGGUUCCUGC
rnacentral:misc_RNA from 1 species